rnacentral:tRNA from 3 species
GCCCGGGUGGCGGAAUUGGUAGACGCGCUAGCUUCAGGUGCUAGUAACUUUUCAAGUUGUGGAAGUUCAAGUCUUCUCUCGGGCACCC